rnacentral:rRNA from 1 species
UACGUAGGGGGCAAGCGUUGUCCGGAUUCAUUGGGCGUAAAGGGUGCGUAGGUGGCGGGGUAAGUCAGGUGUGAAUUCGGAGCUUAACUCCGAAACUGCAUUUGAUACUGCCUUGCUUGAGGACUGGAGAGGAGACUGGAAUUCACGGUGUAGCAGUGAAAUGCGUAGAUAUCGUGAGGAAGACCAGUGGCGAAGCGGGUCUCUGGACAGUUCCUGAACACUGAGGCACGAAGGCCAGGGGAGCAAACGGG